rnacentral:lncRNA from 1 species
CAAUACUCCAAUUGAUAUUUAAUGUCAUAAACGAGCCAUUACUCUGCUAGGAUAUUUGGUUUGUUUUCUAACUUCUCAAUGAGCAGUAAGUUGAUAACUUCUAAGGAAAAAUAAUUCACCUGAAAAGAAAGAAAUCUCCAAUAGAGGGAUCCCUGGUCCUAGAGCACGGCAUGAAAAAGGAAACAGAAGGAGAAAAAAGCAACCUUACACUGUAGCGGGAAAGAGAGUUUCGCUCAACAAACAGAAGCCCUUGACUUCAGAGGUGAAUAAUCCCAGAAACAAGCUACCAAGAGCGGUGGUCCUGGUCACUGGACUUGGCAGGCAAACCAACUGAAUGGAAAUUCUGAAGACCACAGUAGGAGUUUUCUCUUUGUGGGUUUUGGAUGGUAAAAUCUUCAAUCUGUUCCACAGGCAGAAAUCAGAG